GAUGAACGCUGACAGAAUGCUUAACACAUGCAAGUCCACUUGAACUUCGGUUUGGGUGGCGGACGGGUGAGUAACGCGUAAAGAACUUGCCUCACAGAUAGGGACAACAUUUGGAAACGAAUGCUAAUACCUGAUAUUAUGAUUAUAUGGCAUCGUAUAAUUAUGAAAGCUAUAUGCGCUGUGAGAGAGCUUUGCGUCCCAUUAGCUAGUUGGAGAGGUAACGGCUCACCAAGGCGAUGAUGGGUAGCCGGCCUGAGAGGGUGAUCGGCCACAAGGGGACGGAGACACGGCCCUUACUCCAACGGGAGGCAGCAGUGGGAAUAAUUGGACAAGGGACCAAGAGUCUGAUCGAGCAAUUCUGUGUGCAAGAUGAAGUUUUUCGGAAUGAAAAGUGCUUUCAGUUGGGAAGAAAAAAAUGACGGUACCAACAGAAGAAGUGACGGCUAAAUACGUG
rnacentral:rRNA from 1 species